GACGAACGCUGGCGGCGUGCCUAAGACAUGCAAGUCGAGCGGGGUUUCAGGGCUUCGGUCCUGAGACCCAGCGGCGGACGGGUGAGUAACACGUGGAUAACCUGCCCUCUGCUCUGGGAUAACAGGCCGAAAGGCCUGCCUAAUACCCGGAUAAGCUCACGGACCCGCAUGGGUUUGGGAGAAAAGGCGCUGGAGUCAGUGGCGCUGGCAGAGGAGGGUCCGCGCCCCCAUUAGCUGGUUGGCGGGUAACGCCCCACCAAGGCGACGAUGGGUAAGCCGGGCCUGAGAGGGCGACCGGGGCCACACUGGGGACUGAGACACGGCCCCAGACUUCCCUACGGGAGGCAGCAGUCGGGAAUUUUUGCACAAUGGCCCGAAGGCCUGAUGCCAG
rnacentral:rRNA from 1 species